rnacentral:rRNA from 1 species
CCCUUAGAUGUUCUGGGCUGCACGCGCGCUACACUGAUGCACUCAACGAGUUUACGACCUUGCCCGAUAGGGUUGGGUAAUCUUUUUAAAAUGCAUCGUGAUGGGGAUAGAUUAUUGCAAUUAUUAAUCUUCAACGAGGAAUUCCUAGUAAGCGCGAGUCAUCAGCUCGUGCUGAUUAAGUCCCUGCCCUUUGUACACACCGCCCGUCGCUCCUACCGAUUGAGUGCUCAGGUGAAUAAUUCGGACUGCAGCAAUGUUUGGAUCCCGAACGUUGCAGCGGAAAGUUUAGUGAACCUUAUCACUUAGAGGAAGGAGAAGUCGUAACA